rnacentral:rRNA from 1 species
CACGUAGGAGGCGAGCGUUGUCCGGAAUCAUUGGGCGUAAAGAGCGCGCAGGCGGCUUGGCAAGUCGGGUGUGAAAUCCCGGGGCUCAACCCCGUGACUGCAUUCGAUACUGUCAGGCUAGAGGUAGGUAGGGGAGAUCGGAAUUCCUGGUGUAGCGGUGAAAUGCGCAGAUAUCAGGAGGAACACCGGUGGCGAAGGCGGCGACCUGGUCCAAUAUUGACACUCAUACACGAAAGCGUGGGGAUCAAACAGG